rnacentral:rRNA from 1 species
AACAAACGCUGGCGGCGUGUCUUAAGCAUGCAAGUUGAGCGGCAAGGAGGAGAGAUCCUCCCUAGAGCGGCGGACUGGUGAGUAACGCGUGGGUAAUCUAUCGUAGGCAUGGGGAUAGUCACUAGAAAUAGUGGGUAAUACCGAAUACGUUCCAUGAGGGGAGUACUUAUGGAAGAAAGGGUGCUAUGGCACUGGCCUUAGGUGAGCUCGCGUCCCAUUAGCUAGUUGGUGAGGUAAAGGCCCACCAAGGCGAUGAUGGGUAGCCGGCCUGAGAGGGUGUACGGCCACACUGGGACUGAGAUACGGCCCAGACUCCUACGGGAGGCAGCAGCUAAGAAUAUUCCGCAAUGGACGAAAGUCUGACGGAGCGACGCCGCGUGGAUGAAGAAGGCCGAAAGGUUGUAAAGUCUUUUGCUAGGGGAGAAUAAGUGAGGAGGGAAUGCCCUCAUGAUGACAAGGCUAAGCGAAUAAGCCCGGCCAACUACGUGCCAGC